rnacentral:rRNA from 1 species
CAAGCCCUGGAAACGGGGUCUAAUACCGGAUAUUGACCUUCACGGGCAUCUGUGAGGUUCGAAAGCUCCGGCGGUGCAGGAUGAGCCCGCGGCCUAUCAGCUUGUUGGUGAGGUAAUGGCUCACCAAGGCGACGACGGGUAGCCGGCCUGAGAGGGCGACCGGCCACACUGGGACUGAGACACGGCCCAGACUCCUACGGGAGGCAGCAGUGGGGAAUAUUGCACAAUGGGCGAAAGCCUGAUGCAGCGACGCCGCGUGAGGGAUGACGGCCUUCGGGUUGUAAACCUCUUUCAGCAGGGAAGAAGCGAAAGUGACGGUACCUGCAGAAGAAGCGCCGGCUAACUACGUGCCAGCAGCCGCGGUAAUACGUAGGGCGCAAGCGUUGUCCGGAAUUAUUGGGCGUAAGGAGCUCGUAGGCGGCUUGUCACGUCGGUUGUGAAAGCCCGGGGCUUAACCCCGGGUCUGCAGUCGAUACGGGCAGGCUAGAGUUCGGUAGGGGAGAUCGGAAUUCCUGGU